ensembl:miRNA
UUUUUGUGUGUAAAAUUAGGUAGUGGCAGUGGAAGACUAUAUUAAUCAGCUUUUCACUGCCACUACCUAAUUUCUCAGAUGGAAA